GAUGAACGCUGGCGGCGUGCCUAAUACAUGCAAGUCGAGCGAACAGACGAGGAGCUUGCUCCUUCGACGUUAGCGGCGGACGGGUGAGUAACACGUAGGUAACCUACCUCUAAGACUGGGAUAACUUCGUGAAACCGGAGCUAAUACCGGAUCAUAUUUCGAACCGCAUGGUUCGAUAGUGAAAGAUGGCUUUGCUAUCACUUUUAGAUGGACCUGCGCCGUAUUAGCUAGUUGGUAAGGUAACGGCUUACCAAGGCAACGAUCCGUAGCCGACCUGAGAGGGUGAUCGGCCACACUGGAACUGAGACACGGUCCAGACUCCUACGGGAGGCAGCAGUAGGGAAUCUUCCGCAAUGGGCGAAAGCCUGACGGAGCAACGCCGCGUGAGUGAUGAAGGUCUUCGGAUCGUAAAGCUCUGUUAUUAGGGAAGAACAAACGUGUAAGUAACUGUGCACGUCUUGACGGUACCUAAUCAGAAAGCCACGGCUAACUACGUG
rnacentral:rRNA from 1 species